rnacentral:rRNA from 1 species
AACGCUAGCUACAGGCUUAACACAUGCAAGUCGAGGGGCAGCAUUAUCGAAGCUUGCUUUGAUAGAUGGCGACCGGCGCACGGGUGAGUAACGCGUAUCCAACCUUCCCCAUAGUCAGGAAUAGCCCGGCGAAAGUCGAAUUAAUGCCUGAUGUUUUCCACGGACGGCAUCUGAUGUGGAACAAAGAUUGAUCGCUAUGGGAUGGGGAUGCGUCUGAUUAGCUUGUUGGCGGGGUAACGGCCCACCAAGGCAACGAUCAGUAGGGGUUCUGAGAGGAAGGUCCCCCACAUUGGAACUGAGACACGGUCCAAACUCCUACGGGAGGCAGCAGUGAGGAAUAUUGGUCAAUGGGCGGAAGCCUGAACCAGCCAAGUAGCGUGAGGGAUGGCUGCCCUAUGGGUUGUAAACCUCUUUUAUAAGGGAAUAAAAUACGGGACGUGUCCUGUUUUGCAUGUACCUUAUGAAUAAGGACCGGCUAAUUCCGUGCCAGCAGCCGCGGUAAUACGGAAGGUCCGGGCGUUAUCCGGAUUUAUUGGGUUUAAAGGGAGCGCAGGCGGUCUUAUAAGCGUGACGUGAAAUGCAGCGGCUCAACCGUAUGAUGUGCGUCGCGAACUGUGAGACUUGAGUGUAUUCGAUGUCAGCGGAAUUUGUGGUGUAGCGGUGAAAUGCUUAGAUAUCACGAAGAACUCCGAUUG